GUCUGGAUAGCUCAGUUGGUUAGAGUGUGGUGCUGAUAAUGCCAAGGUUGCAGGUUCGAUCCCCGUAUGGGAUG
rnacentral:tRNA from 1 species